rnacentral:rRNA from 1 species
AUGAGACAGAUCUUGAACCUUAGCUACAAAAAUCUUCCUCACCACCUCAAGACAUGCUUCUUGUAUCUUGGUAUGUUUCUGGAGGACUCUGAAAUAUACAGGCAUGAGUUGGUAAGCCUGUGGGUUUCUGAAGGUUUCAUUAGUAAAGCACAUGGACAAAGCCUAGAACAGACCGCGAUAGGUUAUUUCAAUGAUCUUGUCAACAGGAGCCUUAUUCAACCUGCAUUGAUCAAAUCUGAUGGGUCAGUGAAAUCUUGCAAAGUACAUGAUAUGGUGUUGGAUCUUAUCUUGUACAAGUCUGCACAAGAGAAUUUUAUCACUAUAGUAGACAACCCAGAGGCCAUUACAGGACAGUUUCCAAAGCCCCGUCGGAUGCUCUUCAACUUGGAUGGUGAAAUACUGCAAGGGAAUGUUAGUAUGUCACAAGUGCGAUCGUUUGCAAAUUGGAGGGGCUCCAUGAAUAUACCUUCUCUGGCAGAGUUCAAGUAUCUUCGAGUUUUUAAGGCUGACUUCAGUUCUAGCUCUGCUGACCACAACCGCAAAAUCGACCUGACAGGAUUGUGUAAGUUAUAUCAGCUGCGAUAUAUACAAAUUCGUGGCUGUUGCAACUGCCAACUACCAACCCAAAUUAGAGGGUUACAGAUGUUGGAAAUAUUCGAUAUAGAUGGGUCCUGUAUCCCAAUGGAUAUUUUUCACCUGCCGCACUUGUUGAAUCUGAUUGUUCCAUCCGUUGAAAGGCUGCCUAAGGGCAUUGGUAAAAUGAAAUCCCUACAACAUCUGUGUCGUUUUGACCUGCGGCACAACACUUCACUCGACAGUAUCAAGGGCCUAGGAGAGCUCACCAAUCUGAGUACUCUAGUUGUCAGAACCGGUUUUUCUAAAGACGUGGACAUGGAUGUUCUAAACUCUUCUUUGGGGAAACCUUGUAACCUUGAGUCCCUGCACAUAAAUUCAGCUGAUUCUUGGAUGCCUGAGGAGCUAACCUUGUCGCCUCCUCCCCCAAACCUCACGGUCCUCAGCAUGACACAAAUGUCCCAGGUCCCUAACUGGAUUGGGGAACUCCAUAACCUCCAGUUUUUGUAUCUCACUGUUGACAAGCUGGACAAGGAUGGUGUUGGUAUUCUCGCAAAGUUAACAGGCCUCAUCGACCUGGAAUUAAUGUUUCAUAAUGCCCUGGAAGAAACAAUUGCCAUUUAUGGGACAGCAUUCGCAAUCCUAAAGCGGUUUCAUGUCAGCUGCAAGAACAUGGCACACCUGACCUUCCAAGCUGGGGCAAUGCCCAAGCUCCAGAGUGUAUCUCUAGGGUUAAACGCCUUGGGGUGGAAGCAGGAAAAUUGCACCGCACCUACUGGUAUCGAGCACUUGUUAGCACUUGAAAGAAUCGAUGUACUAAUCGGCUGCCUGGAUGCUACUGAAUCUGAACAGAGAAGUGCAGAGUCUGCCAUUAGGAGCGCUAUCAACAUGCAUCCUGGCCAUGCUCACAUUACAAUCGAUAUUGAAAGUCGAUUCUUUGAUAUGGAGCAACAAGAUGAGGUAUGCAAAGGAAUGUUUGAGUUGUCUACAACAUUCAUGCCGGAUUAUAGCGGAUGA